CCUACGGGUGGCUGCAGUGGGGAAUAUUGCACAAUGGGGGAAACCCUGAUGCAGCGACGCCGCGUGAGUGAAGAAGUAUUUCGGUAUGUAAGGCUCUAUCAGCAGGGAAGAAAAUGACGGUACCUGAUUAAGAAGCCCCGGCUAACUACGUGCCAGCAGCCGCGGUAAUACGUAGGGGGCAAGCGUUAUCCGGAUUUACUGGGUGUAAAGGGAGCGCAGGCGGCGCGGCAAGUCAGAUGUGAAAGCCCGGGGCUCAACCCCGGGACUGCAUUUGAAACUGCCGGGCUAGAGUGUCGGAGAGGCAAGUGGAAGUCCUGGUGUAGCGGUGAAAUGCGUAGAGAUUAGGAGGAACACCAGUGGCGAAGGCGGCUUGCUGGACGAUCACUGACGCUGAGGCUCGAAAGCGUGGGGAGCAAACAGGAUUAGAUACCCUAGUAGUC
rnacentral:rRNA from 1 species